GACCUUCCAGGGCUUUCCAGCCUCGGCGUCCUCCUAGGCCCCUCCUUUAGCCCGGUGUUUGCCGUGGGCGGCUCUGCAAAUCCCACGUUCGCCUUACACGUGCGGCGCUCCUGACCCUUAACCGCCCUCAUGGAGCAAGGCAGGAGGCUCUAAAGCCGGGCUGGCGUCCGUGGGGCCCUGAAACGCAGCGCUGCACGCACAUUUUUCCUCAGGAAGGAAGGACAUUACAGUGUGCCACGUGCUUAAAGAAACCCACUCACUGGUGACUAUGAGUGGACACUGGAGUGCAGGAGUGCCUAAGCACACGUGACCCACCUCGGACCUGACGCUGCAGACCUAUUGUUUUGUGAGAAAUGCUGUGGAAGCAAAGGUGAAGAAGCGACAGCCUGCCACCUGCACCCAGGAAAUGAAGUGACUCUUGAAGAUGAGCAUGCGUCUUUCUAGCGCAAGAAAAGGAAAACAGUGCUCCUGGCAGAAACAAGAGCAUAUAUACACCCAGCUAAGGAUGGUAAAAGUUCCAUAUUUUACCAAAGCGUAGAUCCUCAGUUUUACCAAUCUACUUGCUCACAGGAUUUUUACUGUUUCCUGAAUGUUGAUAGUAUCAUGUCACUCCAUGCAUCCAAAGUUUAUAAAAUCUUGAACUAUGAAUAACUGCUACGAAGACAACAGUAUGCAAUAUAUUAGUUAUUGUAGCUGUCCUACUAACC